CUAAAAACUAAGAAAUGAUCAUACAAUUUUCUAUUUGUUACAUCCAAAGGAGAAGAAACAUGACUGCAAUUCUCAAGGUUGCUUAUAUUAUUAUGAUCAUAUGUCUUUUUCUGCUUCACGAUGCAGCCUCAGAUGAUUAUCUAAAAUAUAUUUAUCGAUGCCAGAAUGACGGAGAUUGUGAUCAGAUAUGUGCGACACAUGGUAUUUCAAAGUGCGUUGCGACUAUGUGUUUCUGCAAUUUGAAUUUAUAAAUGUAAUUUGGUUUCCUAUAAACUUAUAACAAGAUAUAGGGAGGAGAGUAAAAACGUCACUGGCAUGAAGAACUGCAGAUGAAUUGUAAUAAAUAAAAAUGUAAUCAUGUGAAUUAAAUAAGGAUAACAUCAUGAUUAUCACAUAAUUA